AGCAGUUUGUGUAGAUACUUACAGCAGUUAGUGUAGAUAUUUACAGCAGUUAGAUUACAGUAGAGCUAUAGAAACUGUAGUGACAUAUAGUCAGUGCCUCCUGUCACCCGUCCUGAAGGACAAACCUUCGCCAGCUAUGCGUUUACCUGUUAUGCAGUUAAUCCCUGUAGCUCCUUCAAACAGGCCGUCAUGAACUAUGGCUUUCUAUCUUACGGAUUCAUUCCGUAUGAUAGAAUGACUAUUAUUCAAAUGGAAAGGGACGCUGGACGGGAAUGUCCAUAUAUGGUAUAAUGACUAUUACUCAGAUGGAAUAUACCCACUUGGUCACAUUGGUAGUCAAACACCUGUAUAUGUCAUGCUGAAUUGUUUCCCAGUAUACACGAUAAUGAUUUGUUGGAGUGAAUUAUGGCAUUAAAUUGUUACCCAAAAUGAAUAAUAUUGAAAAAUGCCGUGAAUUUGAGAUUCUGUCAAGUAUGAUUCAGCAGUAUUCUUCUCAACGCACUGCACAAAGCUCGGUGCAGCGGUCGUUCAGAGUGCAUUCCCUUGAAUGAGGAUGUGACGAUUUGCUAUAGCAAUGAACUGUGUUAUGUAAGGAUGUGACGAUUUGCUAUAGCAAUGAACUGUGUUAUGUAAGGAUGUGACGAUUUGCUAUAGCAAUGAACUGUGUUAUGUAAGGAUGUGACGAUUUGCUAUAGCAAUGAACUGUGUUAUGUAAGGAUGUGACGAUUUGCUAUAGCAAUGAACUGUGUUAUGUAAGGAUGUAGUCUGUCCAGCAGAAGAAAUACAAGUAAAUAUGUCACGCUAUGUGUUUUUAUCUCAUCAAACAUUGAUCUCAUCGAGGCUGAGAAGAGAAGUAAUGAGACUAUGCUACUUUGCUUAGUGAAGCCUUGCAGUGAACUUUCCCAAGAAAAGACGUGCACUUUCCUAUGUAUGAGUGGUUAUUUAUACAGAUCUACUUAACUGUGUGAAGCUCAACCCACCCUGUGAAUAAACACUUGCUGGGACUGGACCCAGCAGAGAUAAGGUCACGUCCCUUGCACUGCGAGCUGAUAAAUGAUGAUGCCACGCUGUGGUCGCAUUUACUGGACUUAUAAACUCUCUCUUAACACUUCAAAAUCUUCCAAACAGAAAAUAUCAUAUUUACGUAUACCAUUUUAAGCAUCUUGAUACAAAAAAUGCUAUGAUGUUAUGAGAACAACAUGUAACUGGGUUCAAGAUGGUAUGUUGAGUCAUUUCUGCAAGCAAGUAAGCUUGCGCGUGUGUGUUUAAACUGUUCACCAGAUGUCGAUAUAUGUUUAAAACAAGGAGUCAUCCCUCCUGAUAUAUAAGGUGGGUGGUAGAUUCUAAAUGAUGAAGAUAGAUUCUAAAGGUGAUAUCCUACAUGUAUCUUGCUCGGUGUCAGGUGGAGAGUUCUGUACAUGAUGUCAGGUGCUGUGAUCUGUACAUGAUGUCAGGUGGAGUGUUCUGUACAUGAUGUCAGGUGGAGUGUUCUGUACAUGAUGUCAGGUGGAGUGUUCUGUACAUGAUGUCAGGUGGAGUGUUCUGUACAUGAUGUCAGGUGGAGUGUUCUGUACAUGAUGUCAGGUGGAGUGUUCUGUACAUGAUGUCAGGUGGAGUGUUCUGUACAUGAUGUCAGGUGGAGUGUUCUGUACAUGAUG
rnacentral:lncRNA from 1 species